rnacentral:rRNA from 1 species
AGCGUAGGCGGACUUUUAAGUGAGAUGUGAAAUACCCGGGCUCAACUUGGGUGCUGCAUUUCAAACUGGAAGUCUAGAGUGCAGGAGAGGAGAAGGGAAUUCCUAGUGUAGCGGUGAAAUGCGUAGAGAUUAGGAAGAACACCAGUGGCGAAGGCGCUUCUCUGGACUGUAACUGACGCUGAGGCUCGAAAGCGUGGGGAGCAAACA